AUUGAACGCUGGCGGCAGGCCUAACACAUGCAAGUCGAGCGGCAGCGACUUAACUGAACCUUCGGGGAACGUUAAGGGCGGCGAGCGGCGGACGGGUGAGUAAUGCCUGGGAAUAUACCCUGAUGUGGGGGAUAACUAUUGGAAACGAUAGCUAAUACCGCAUAAUCUCUUCGGAGCAAAGAGGGGGACCUUCGGGCCUCUCGCGUCAGGAUUAGCCCAGGUGGGAUUAGCUUGUUGGUGAGGUAAUGGCUCACCAAGGCGACGAUCCCUAGCUGGUCUGAGAGGAUGAUCAGCCACACUGGAACUGAGACACGGUCCAGACUCCUACGGGAGGCAGCAGUGGGGAAUAUUGCACAAUGGGGGAAACCCUGGUGCAGCCAUGCCGCGUGUGUGAAGAAGGCCUUCGGGUUGUAAAGCACUUUCAGUAGGGAGGAAGGUAGUGUAGUUAACACCUGCAUUAUUUGACGUUACCUACAGAAGAAGCACCGGCUAACUCCGUGCCAGCAGCCGCGGUAAUACGGAGGGUGCGAGCGUUAAUCGGAAUUACUGGGCGUAAAGCGCAUGCAGGCGGCCUGUUAAGUCAGAUGUGAAAGCCCGGGGCUUAACCUCGGAAUUGCAUUUGAAACUGGCAGGCUAGAGUCUUGUAGAGGGGGGUAGAAUUUCAGGUGUAGCGGUGAAAUGCGUAGAGAUCUGAAGGAAUACCAGUGGCGAAGGCGGCCCCCUGGACAAAGACUGACGCUCAGAUGCGAAAGCGUGGGGAGCAAACAGG
rnacentral:rRNA from 1 species